rnacentral:misc_RNA from 1 species
GAUGAAGAACGCAGCGAAAUGCGAUAAGUAAUGUGAAUUGCAGAAUUCAGUGAAUCAUCGAAUCUUUGAACGCACAUUGCGCCCGCCAGUAUUCUGGCGGGCAUGCCUGUCUGAGCGUCAUUUCAACCCUCAUGCCCCUAGGGCGUGGUGUUGGGGAUCGGCCAAAGCCCGCGAGUGACGGCCGGCCCCUAAAUCUAGUGGCGGACCCGUCGUGGCCUCCUCUGCGAAGUAGUGAUAUUCCGCAUCGGAGAGCGAUGAGCCCCUGCCGUUAAACCCCCAACUUUCCAAGGUUGACCUCAGAUCAGGUAGGAAUACCCGCUGAACUUAAGCAUAUCAAUAAGCGGAGGA